rnacentral:tmRNA from 1 species
GGCUUCUCCUGUGGAGUUGGAUUUUCGGGGUCAAAUCACACAGGAUCGCGCUGUAAUGUGUCUGUUAUUACAUCGUUAAACUCAAGCAGGCUCGCUGAACCGGACCCUGUCUGUCGGGCCCUGUUCAGUCAAAUUAUAGACAGACUAAGCAUGUAGCUGCCGAUGUGCGUAGGGCUUGCGGACGCGGGUUCGAUUCCCGCCGCCUCCACCA